AGAGUUUGAUCAUGGCUCAGAAUCAACGCUGGCGGCGUGCCUAACACAUGCAAGUCGAACGAGAAAGGGGAGCAAUCCCUGAGUACAGUGGCGACCGGGUGAGUAACACGUGACUACCUACCCUUGAGUGGGGGAUAACCUCGGGAAACCGAGGCUAAUACCGCAUAAUAUCGAGAGAUCAAAGGAGUAAUCCGCUUUUGGAGGGGGUCGCGGCUGAUUAGCUAGUUGGUAGGGUAAUGGCCUACCAAGGCGAAGAUCGGUAUCCGGCCUGAGAGGGCGCACGGACACACUGGAACUGAAACACGGUCCAGACUCCUACGGGAGGCAGCAGUGGGGAAUUUUGCGCAAUGGGGGAAACCCUGACGCAGCAACGCCGCGUGGAGGAUGAAGCUCCUUGGAGUGUAUACCCCUUUCGACCGGGACGAUAAUGACGGUACCGGUGGAAGAAGCACCGGCUAACUCUGUGCCAGCAGCCGCGGUAAUACAGAGGGUGCGAGCGUUGUUCGGAAUUAUUGGGCGUAAAGGGCGCGUAGGCGGUGUUGUAAGUCACCUGUGAAACCUCUGGGCUUAACUCAGAGCCUGCAGGCGAAACUGCAAUGCUGGAGGGUGGGAGAGGUGCGUGGAAUUCCCGGUGUAGCGGCGAAAUGCGUAGAUAUCGGGAGGAACACCUGUGGCGAAAGCGGCGCACUGGACCACUACUGACGCUGAGGCGCGAAAGCUAGGGGAGCAAACAGGAUUAGAUACCCUAGUAGUCC
rnacentral:rRNA from 1 species